rnacentral:tRNA from 1 species
ACCGAAAUAGCUCAGUUGAGAGAGACUUAAGACUAUAUAGAUCGAAAGGUCCCUGGUUCGAUCCCGGGUUCCGGCA